UACAAGUAUUUAAUAAAUCUAUUCUGGGAAGUUUUUAUUUUAUAAGCCAGAAAUAAUUUAUCACUUUAUUAAGAUUUAUAUUACUGAAAACUGUCAGGCACCCAUGUGCUGAAUGAUUGAUAGCGUUUCUCUACCCUCUAGUGGACUGAUGCAGAACUGAAACGGCCAACACAAGAAUCUUCAAGGACAAUUGCCUGGGAAUCCUGAGAAUUGAUAAAAUAUGUGGUAGUACCUGCACUACAGAAUAGAAGUCACUUGGAAGUUCUUGGCAUAUAGUAAGCACUCAGUAACUGUUAGUUAUCACUCUUCUC
ensembl:lncRNA